rnacentral:rRNA from 1 species
GCUUCUGGAGAACGGCGGAGAGACAUUGCUGGAACGCGCCCCAGGCGCACCCAGAAACCCUUUGUGAACUUAUACCUUACUGUUGCCUCGGCGCUAGCUGGUCCUUCGGGGCCCCUCACCCUCGGGUGUUGAGACAGCCCGCCGGCGGCCAACCUAACUCUUGUUUUUACACUGAAACUCUGAGAAUAAAACAUAAAUGAAUCAAAACUUUCAACAACGGAUCUCUUGGUUCUGGCAUCGAUGAAGAACGCAGCGAAAUGCGAUAAGUAAUGUGAAUUGCAGAAUUCAGUGAAUCAUCGAAUCUUUGAACGCACAUUGCGCCCUCUGGUAUUCCGGAGGGCAUGCCUGUUCGAGCGUCAUUUCAACCCUCAAGCCUGGCUUGGUGAUGGGGCACUGCCUGUAAAAGGGCAGGCCCUGAAAUUCAGUGGCGAGCUCGCCAGGACCCCGAGCGCAGUAGUUAAACCCUCGCUUUGGAAGGCCCUGGCGGUGCCCUGCCGUUAAACCCCCAACUUCUGAAAAUUUGACCUCGGAUCAGGUAGGAAUACCCGCUGAACUUAAGCAUAUCAAAAGCCGGGAGGAAUU